AGAAGCCCGUCCGGUAGAGCUUGGCCAGCAGCCGGAAGCGAGUCUUGCGUAGCAGUACGAAGCGUAGACAGCCAGUGCUGAAGCCGCGUUAUUGAGCCUCGAAAGUUGCAAUGCAGGAGCCUUCGUCGUGGUCAGAGCGGGGGCCGCGUUGGCGUGUCGUAACGGCCUGACACGUCAGUCCUGCCGGGGUCGAAGAGCG
rfam:Planctomycetes bacterium RBG_13_63_9 RBG_13_scaffold_45964, whole genome shotgun sequence.